AUGGCUCCCGAUGAACGCUAGCGACAGGCUUAACACAUGCAAGUCGAGGGGCAGCGGGGUAGUGCUUGCACUACUGCCGGCGACCGGCGCACGGGUGAGUAACACGUAUGGAACCUGCCCGCAGCAGGGGGAUAAGCGGAAGAAAUUCCGUCUAAUACCGCGUAACAACGUUGGGAGGCAUCUCCCGAUGUUUAAAGAUUUAUCGGCUGCGGAUGGCCAUGCGGCGCAUUAGCUAGUCGGCGGGGUAACGGCCCACCGAGGCGACGAUGCGUAGGGGUUCUGAGAGGAAGGUCCCCCACACUGGUACUGAGACACGGACCAGACUCCUACGGGAGGCAGCAGUGAGGAAUAUUGGUCAAUGGCCGAGAGGCUGAACCAGCCAAGUCGCGUGAGGGAUGACGGCCCUACGGGUUGUAAACCUCUUUUGUCGGGGAGCAAAGGGAGUCACGUGUGACUCAUUGAGAGUACCCGAAGAAAAAGCAUCGGCUAACUCCGUGCCAGCAGCCGCGGUAAUACGGAGGAUGCGAGCGUUAUCCGGAUUUAUUGGGUUUAAAGGGUGCGCAGGCGGAGGUGCAAGUCAGCGGUCAAAUUGCGGGGCUCAACCCCGUACUGCCGUUGAAACUGCAUCCCUUGAGUGCGCGAGAAGUAUGCGGAAUGCGUGGUGUAGCGGUGAAAUGCAUAGAUAUCACGCAGAACUCCGAUUGCGAAGGCAGCAUACCGGCGCGCAACUGACGCUCAUGCACGAAAGCGUGGGUAUCGAACAGGAUUAGAUACCCUGGUAGUCCACGCAGUAAACGAUGAACACUAACUGUUCGGCCAGAAUGAUGGCUGAGUGGUACAGCGAAAGCGUUAAGUGUUCCACCUGGGAGUACGCCGGCAACGGUGAAACUCAAAGGAAUUGACGGGGGCCCGCACAAGCGGAGGAACAUGUGGUUUAAUUCGUUGAUACGCGAGGAACCUUACCCGGGCUCAAACGACACAGGAAUACUUUUGAAAGGAGGUAGCCCUACGGGGUCUGUGUCGAGGUGCUGCAUGGUUGUCGUCAGCUCGUGCCGUGAGGUGUCGGCUUAAGUGCCAUAACGAGCGCAACCCCUAUCGCCAGUUGCCAUCAAGUAAAGUUGGGGACUCUGGCGAGACUGCCGGCGCAAGCUGUGAGGAAGGCGGGGAUGACGUCAAAUCAGCACGGCCCUUACGUCCGGGGCGACACACGUGUUACAAUGGCAGGUACAGAGAGAAGCCAGGUGGCGACACCGAGCGGAACUCGAAAGCCUGUCUCAGUUCGGAUCGGAGUCUGCAACCCGACUCCGUGAAGCUGGAUUCGCUAGUAAUCGCGCAUCAGCCAUGGCGCGGUGAAUACGUUCCCGGGCCUUGUACACACCGCCCGUCAAGCCAUGGAAGCCGGGAGUGCCUGAAGUAUGCAACCGCAAGGAGCGUCCUAAGGUAAAACCGGUGACUGGGGCUAAGUCGUAACAAGGUAGCCG
rnacentral:rRNA from 1 species